rnacentral:pre_miRNA from 1 species
AGUUUUUUUUUUCCUCGGUAGUUUACUGCCGAAGUUUUCCUCGGCAGUUAACUGCCGAAGGGUAU